UGUCCUUUAAGAUAAUAUGUAUCUAGACUUUCCAUCCCAGAAAUAGAAAUGGGAUGGAAAGUAUAGAUACAUAUUAUAUUAAAGGACAAAGGACAGU
rnacentral:miRNA from 1 species